CUAUUGCGCUUCUGAUUUGGCAGUGAAAUUUGCCGAUUUUGGGUGCGUAAGAUGUGAAGGAUACGAUGGUCCAGUUAGUAUUUUCACCCCAUAAUGGCGGCCGCGCUACCGGAGCGCCAUCUAGUGGCUGUUACCCAAAAAGUAUCAAAGUGUCGCCUCUUGGGUUCUAAGCUCUUUGUUGUCAGAUACUUUUUUAUCCCAUCUUUCCCAGGAGGCAACGGGAAAGGAUGCCCCAUAAUCAAACUCGGAGGAGAAAAGUGACGCGGGUGUUUGUGAAUAGCUUUUGUGGUGGAGCAGGACCUGCAAGGAACGGUGAUGGCGGCAUUUGUGGGGAAAAAAGGGAAAACCUGAAACAAAAAUAUGAAGAUGUGAAAUGUCCUCAGACUGGUGUGAGCACUGAGAGCCACAGCAGAUCCUGGAAAUGGUGUAGAGCCAUGGAUGAGACCCUCCAUCACUCCUCCUGCCCUUACUGCCUCAUCUGGACUGAUGUUGCUGUGGUCUCUUCAUCCUCAGUGAGCCCAGAGCCAGCGAGAGCAUGUAGAAAAAGACCAAAAGAUUGAGGAUGUGAUUUUGGUCAAGUUUGUUCUGCUGGUUUCUGUUCAUUCAAUGGAGCUUCAAAAGCAUCAUCAAAUAAUGUCAUGAAUCUUCUGGAAGUCAGGCUCCAUUGACUAAUAUUGUAUGAACAGAAACCAGCAGGACAAACUUGACCAAAAUCACAUUUUGUGUUAAACAAUCAAACACAGGGAUUGAACAGCGUGAAGGGAUGAUCCCGCUGGAAUAACCUGGAGUAAAGUGUCUUGAUCAAGGACACGCUGGUGGAGACGCUGCGGAGAUCGAACCAGCAACCUUCUGCUGACCAGCUCAGUGGUUUAGCUCACUACACCACAAAAGUAGUCAUGCUGAUGGAGAGCACACAAAUGUUUGCAACAGACACAGCAGCAGCCAGAUUGUCCCGCACAUCUUAUUCCACUCUUGGUUCAGGGGUCCAUCAUCAUCAUCUUCCUCAUCCUCUGGAUCAACAAUGUCAACAUUGAGAAGAGCAGCAGUGAGGGACAUGAUGGCAAAGACAGGUGAAGGUGUUCACGGUGGUCAGCUGCUUCAUCAAAAUAAAGCUGCAGAAUUGGCACAGCUGUGUUGAGAUGGCAGCAGGACUGUAAAUAGGUGAUUGUUAGAACAAUAAGUUUAAAUAAAGCUUUGUUUCAUGUGUU